AGUGAACGCUGGCGGUAGGCCUAACACAUGCAAGUCGAACGGCAGCACAGUAAGGGCUUGCUCUUACGGGUGGCGAGUGGCGGACGGGUGAGGAAUACAUCGGAAUCUACUUUUUCGUGGGGGAUAACGUAGGGAAACUUACGCUAAUACCGCAUACGACCUACGGGUGAAAGCAGGGGAUCUUCGGACCUUGCGCGAUUGAAUGAGCCGAUGUCGGAUUAGCUAGUUGGCGGGGUAAAGGCCCACCAAGGCGACGAUCCGUAGCUGGUCUGAGAGGAUGAUCAGCCACACUGGAAUUGAGACACGGUCCAGACUCCUACGGGAGGCAGCAGUGGGGAAUAUUGGACAAUGGGCGCAAGCCUGAUCCAGCCAUACCGCGUGGGUGAAGAAGGCCUUCGGGUUGUAAAGCCCUUUUGUUGGGAAAGAAAAGCAGCAGGUUAAUACCCCGCUGUUCUGACGGUACCCAAAGAAUAAGCACCGGCUAACUUCGUG
rnacentral:rRNA from 1 species